GACAAUGAGCGAGGUGGUGGAGACGCAUCUCUGCCAUGUCCCAUCAUCUGGUGGAGGGAGCUGCAAGGUGGAAGCCACUGUAGCUGUGGAUGAGACCUGGAGCUGUGCUACCUAUAUUCUGACUCCUUUUAAAAAGAAUGAUUGGGGUAGGGCCAAAGGCUCCACGCUUCCACAGUGACCUGCAGCUCUGUGCCCUGUGGGGGUGGACGGGAAAUAUGGAAGUGGGGGAGAGUAUGAAAACAAGCAUGGGGCUAUUAGACACUGUUGCUUAGUGAUUAUUAUACCAAGCCCCCACAAGG
rnacentral:lncRNA from 1 species